AGACUUGAUGAGACUCAGGUUUGAUCUCUUCGGCAAGAGAACUGGGCACACAGCAGGAGGUGAGCGUCGGGCCAGAGAGCAUGACCGCCUGAGCUCCGCCUCCUGUCAGAUCCCAGACAGCAUGACCGCCUGAGCUCCGCCUCCUGUCAGAUCCCAGAGAGCAUGACCGCCUGAGCUCCGCCUCCUGUCAGAUCCCAGACAGCAUGACCGCCUGAGCUCCGCCUCCUGUCAGAUCCCAGACAGCAUGACCGCCUGAGCUCCGCCUCCUGUCAGAUCCCAGACAGCAUGACCGCCUGAGCUCCGCCUCCUGUCAGAUCCCAGACAGCAUGACCGCCUGAGCUCCGCCUCCUGUCAGAUCCCAGACAGCAUGACCGCCUGAGCUCCGCCUCCUGUCAGAUCCCAGACAGCAUGACCGCCUGAGCUCCGCCUCCUGUCAGAUCAGUGGGCAUUCAAUUCUUAUAGAAGCAGGAACCCUGUUGUAAACUGUGCAUUCGAGGUUUUCUGCUCCUUAUGAGAAUCUAAGGCCUGAUGAUCUGAGGUGGAAUAGCUUCAUCCUGAAACCAUCCCCUCCACGAAACUGGCCCCUGAUGCCAAAAAGUUUGGGGACUGCUGCUCUAAGCAAUUUUCCUCAGUUCAGCACUCUACCCUGGAAGGAUGCCCUGGAAGACUAGUUUCAGGAGUUAAUAAGGUCCAGACCCAGCCUCUCUGGACUUACCACAGACCCCUUGCAUGCAGACUCAGAAAAAUCCUGUUUGAGUUGCUACCUCCAAAUUGGCACAUCUCCCUUUCUCUGUCUAUUGGCUCUUUGGGGACCCUUGUGUCCACCUCCCUGGGGGUCCUUGUGUCAUGUCUACAUCCCCGGGGGUCCUUGUGUCUACAUACCUAGUGCUCUCUGACAUUCCUCUCCAUAUAGGUGCUGGCAACACAUGACCUGGUGGGCAUUGCUGGCUUGCUCCAGAGACUUGUAAGUGAUCUUUCAGGGGAUAUCUUACUGUUUUAUUUUAUUGAAAAUGUUGAUGUUGUUGAUUGACUUUUUUUGGAGGGAGAGAAAAAUCUAAUGGCUGUUUUUAUAGAGGGAUUCAGGAACGUCCAAAACUAUGCUGGCACCACCAACACCAUCCUUUUAGAACUCCUGGUGCUCAUUUUUCAAAAUCUUCUAAUUAGCUCAUAGAUUUAUCUCGCUGCCUGAGCCACAUCCUGGAUUCUUUUAGGAGUGAGGAAUUUAACACAAAUCUUCUGUUUUAUGUUCGCUUAGGGUAAGUCUAGUGUGUAUGGCUCAAUAAAUGUGAAUUAUUAAAUACAUUAAGUUAAUGGAAAUUUAGAGCCUGUAGGAAUUUUAAAGGUUAACUAGACUAAUGUUUUCCAUUUACAGCACUGGAAUUUGUGUUUUAAAUAUUUUUUUUUCCGAAUCUGUCAUUUUUUUUUUUGGUGUUUUUAUUAAUGGUUUGAAUAAGUAUAAUGUGAUAAAUACAUCAGUCCUUUUAAGUUUUCUGAUUUUUGAGCAUUAUUAGAAAAGCUUUCUCCCAUCUAAGUUAUCAAGAAACAAGUCCUCAUGAAAACCUGCAUUAUCUGUAUGUUUGUCGGGGUUAUUUUUGUUGUUCUUUUUAACAUUUAAGUGUUUAAUUCAGCUGAAGUUAUUUUGGUGUUGGCCAAGAGGAAGGGAAUCUCACUUCAUUAUUUUUUUUCUGCAGAUGACAGUCAUUUGCAAUUGUUCCAACAUGAUUUAUUAAAUAAUCAAACCAUUUUUCUCAAAUACUUAUAAAUGCCAUCUUUAUCACAUACAGAACUCUUGUAUGCGAUAAUUAUGUUCCUGAAUUAUUUAUUUUUUCUCUUAUUUUCUAAAUUUGCAUCCCUAUUCCUUUCCUCUUACCUAACAGUGCGGAUAGCCUCUCUGAAACAUCACAUAUGGUGAUGAUAGUAAACACCAUUGCCUGUGGCUGAUCUUACCAGGAAAACUUCCUCAUGUUUGCCUUUUAAGCAUGAUAUAAUAUUGGAUUUUGAGUUGAUACAUAGAAAUAUUUGUAUUUUGCUACUAUCUACUAAUUCCUAUUUUGGUAAUUAUUUUGUUAAAUUGGAAAUAGAUGCUUAAUUUAAAUAAACAGAUGCUAAGUUUUCAGCUUCAAUAGAGACAAGCU
rnacentral:lncRNA from 10 species